rnacentral:misc_RNA from 1 species
CGCACCUUGCGCCCCUUGGUAUUCCGAGGGGCAUGCCUGUUUGAGUGUCAUGUUAAUCUCAAACCCCGAGUCUUUCUUAAUUGAAGGGCCCCGAUCGGUUUGGACUUGGAGGUUACUGCUGGCUCCCCCUCUUUGUAGUCGGCUCCUCUGAAAUGCAUUAGCUGGACUUUGGUUCGCAUUUACGGUGUAAUAGUAAUACUUGUUCACCAAGUGCUUGCCUAAGGAGUCUGCUUCUAAUCGCCCUUUACUUUUGGGCAAGGUCCCCUUUGACCUUCAUGAACACUUUGACCUCAAAUCAGGUAGGAUUACCCGCUGAACUUAA